UGAUCCUACGGGGGGCAGCAGUGGGGAAUAUUGCACAAUGGGGGGAACCCUGAUGCAGCGACGCCGCGUGGGUGAAGGAGUACUUCGGUACGUAAAGCCCUAUCAGCAGGAAAGAAAAUGACGGUACCUGACUAAGAAGCCCCGGCUAACUACGUGCCAGCAGCCGCGGUAAUACGUAGGGGGCAAGCGUUAUCCGGAUUUACUGGGUGUAAAGGGAGCGUAGACGGCGCUGCAAGUCCGGAGUGAAAGCCCAUGGCUUAACCAUGGUACUGCUCUGGAAACUGUGGAGCUUGAGUGCGGGAGGG
rnacentral:rRNA from 1 species